rnacentral:tRNA from 1 species
GCAGAUGUAGUUUAAUGGUAGAACCUCAGCCUUCCAAGCUGACUGUGUGAGUUCGAUUCUCAUCAUCUGCUCCA